rnacentral:rRNA from 1 species
GGGGGGGGGGGGGGGGGGGCGGGGCGGGUGGGGGUCGAGCGGGAAGGCCCUGCUUGUGUGGGGUGCUCGAGUGGCGAACGGGUGAGUAACACGUGAGUAACCUGCCCUUGACUUUGGGAUAACUUCAGGAAACUGGGGCUAAUACCGGAUAGGAGCUCCUGCUGCAUGGUGGGGGUUGGAAAGUUUCGGCGGUUGGGGAUGGACUCGCGGCUUAUCAGCUUGUUGGUGGGGUAGUGGCUUACCAAGGCUUUGACGGGUAGCCGGCCUGAGAGGGUGACCGGCCACAUUGGGACUGAGAUACGGCCCAGACUCCUACGGGAGGCAGCAGUGGGGAAUAUUGCACAAUGGGCGGAAGCCUGAUGCAGCAACGCCGCGUGCGGGAUGACGGCCUUCGGGUUGUAAACCGCUUUCGCCUGUGACGAAGCGUGAGUGACGGUAAUGGGUAAAGAAGCACCGGCUAACUACGUG